CGACUUCAAUUCUCUCCCCACGACCCUCAAUUACUCUCCAUAUUUCCGCUCCUCUUCUCAACCGCUGCUUCUGUGACAACAAGAACCAAUGGCUUCACGUCAAGAGAUUAGAAGCAAGAACCCAUGUUAUUAAUCAAGAUUUCUGUGGAAACUGAAUCUGUGUGAUAUCCAUCUCUAUAUUCGAUCUCCAUCCCAAGUUUCCAUGCCAUCAACCCCUCUGGUAUGUUGCAUUUUACUCUCUGAAAUCCUUUUCCCAUACCGUCAAUUUUUCUUCUAGAUUUUUCUGCAGGCCAUAUAAUCAAUAGUUUGGAGGUAAUGAUUCGUUGAUCAUGCUUGUUGACAAUGCCACAAUGGCUGUGUUUAGUUUGGCUAUGUUGUGAGCCAUGGCACUUCAUUCUUUUUUUCUUUCAAGCAUAAGUAUUCCAGUGAUGAGAGAGGUACAAUGAAAUAUCUGGUUGAGUACUUCCGUGGGAGUUAUGGAUUUGUGAUCCAACACAUAUAAUGGCCAUGCCUGCAAGUUGAAAUACUCAGAGACUUAAUUAUUUGCCUAUGGAGGGUUAUUAAAUAACAUGGGUAAGUCGUUUGGUAAAAGGCCCCUUAAUCUUUUAUGUUUAUCAUAAGGUGUAGUCUAAUGUUUUGAAUCAUCAGGCCUGCAAGGAUUGUUGAGGGCCAGAUGUAUUCAGAGAGGUUAAUUGCAGCCCUACUCAAAGCGUAUGUUUCUGAAAGUGUAGAAAGAUGCCCAAGAUACACCUCCUGUUUAUAUUGCAUUGCAGAUUUUCCACUUGGCUACUAUUCAUUUUGCUUAUGCAAAGGAACUUAGACUUCGAUGUUGAUAGCCUCGAUUUAGAAGUGAUCAAUGGUCCGACAUUGUUGGUUUAUGUAAUGGGGACAAGAAUAUAAAAGAGCUACAAAUGGCUUUUGGUAUGGCUUCUUAAGSUGCAAAAACCCUAACAUCGGAUAACUUCAGRAACACCAACUGUGCUGCCUGAGGAAGGAAUCAGGCAGCAACUUUCGCUCAAUGCCGCCAUGAUAAAUGGAUCACUUUACAACUUUUCGCUUAUAAAGUUACUUGCUCAUGUUGGUAUUCAUGUUGAUGCCCCUGGACGUAUGUUUGAUCAUUACUUUGAUGCUGGCUUCAAUGUUGUUAGUCUCGAUUUAGAAGUGCUCAUGGGUUCGUCAUUGUUGGUUGAUGUUCCGAGGGACAAGAAUAUAACAGGUAUGUUCCGACAAGGCGUGUACUCUUCACGUAAAUAUCUUUCUUCUUAUGCAAGGAAGGGAAAUAUGAUGUUAGUCUCCACUU